rnacentral:rRNA from 1 species
GAUGAACGCUGGCGGCGUGCCUAAUACAUGCAAGUCGAGCGAACAGACGAGGAGCUUGCUCCUCUGACGUUAGCGGCGGACGGGUGAGUAACACGUGGAUAACCUACCUAUAAGACUGGGAUAACUUCGGGAAACCGGAGCUAAUACCGGAUAAUAUAUUGAACCGCAUGGUUCAAUAGUGAAAGACGGUUUUGCUGUCACUUAUAGAUGGAUCCGCGCCGCAUUAGCUAGUUGGUAAGGUAACGGCUUACCAAGGCAACGAUGCGUAGCCGACCUGAGAGGGUGAUCGGCCACACUGGAACUGAGACACGGUCCAGACUCCUACGGGAGGCAGCAGUAGGGAAUCUUCCGCAAUGGGCGAAAGCUUGACGGAGCAACGCCGCGUGAGUGAUGAAGGUCUUCGGAUCGUAAAACUCCGUUAUUAGGGAAGAACAAAUGUGUAAGUAACUAUGCACGUCUUGACGGUGCCUAAUCAGAAAGCCACGGCUAACUACGUG